GGGGGUGAACGGUUUCGACUUUGGACGUCGAUUCGAGGGAAGCGUGCCGGUGCAGGCGAGAGACCACCGUAAGCGUCAUCGCAAACCAAUAAGCGCCAAGGCCAAUAGCCAGCGCGACUACGCCCUCGCCGCCUGAGCGAGCGCGUGGUCUGUCGGCCCGGGAGUGCCUCCGUCCCGGUCGCCGGCAUCAGCUAGGAGGCUCUACCGCCGGACCCGGCCACGGGGUCCGGUCGGGAAACCAACAGUGGCUGGGCCCGUCACAUCGGCUUGUUCGCGUGAUCGAUGGGGCCGAGUAGAGGCAUAGCGGACUGCGCACGGAGAAGCCUUGUUGAGGCGCCAGAGGACCCGGGUUCAAUUCCCGGCACCUCCACUU
rnacentral:tmRNA from 1 species